GGCAGUUCUCAGGUGAAGCACCCUGGAAUCGGGUUCCCUUCUCUCUGGUCUGGAGUGCGUCACCCGAGAACUGCC
rfam:Myotis brandtii contig142914, whole genome shotgun sequence.